CGGAAUAGUAUAAUUGGUAAUUACAGGGGUCUGCAAAAUCCUUAAUAACAGUUCAAAUCUGUUUUCCG
rnacentral:tRNA from 1 species